UAAUCCGUGAGGAUUGGUCUGAAGUAAGCGAGACUACAAAGGUUGGUACUGACAUUCGGAAACGAUAGUUUUCGACCAAUUGAAUAAGAGGCUUGUAAAAUCGGAUAAGUUGCCACAUCACAACAACGUCCAAAGCUCUGCAUAGAGAUUGUAUUUUACAAGUAGAUUCAGCAGUGAUUAACCGAAGGACAAUUAC
rfam:Metagenome sequence AGZO7973.g2, whole genome shotgun sequence.